UAGCAAUGAGGAAAAUCUUUAGUGUUCCAGAGAUCGGCCUAAUUGAAGGUCUUUCAAUGACGGCAAACACAACCCUCUAAGAAGUUCUGAGCUU